GCUCUUGACAAUCAGUUUGCUUAACUUGCUUAAACCAUUUUUUGUUUUUGCACAAGUAUGGGUAUUUUAAAAAGUUAAAGAUAAACAAAAAUAAUAUUCUUUUAGUAUAAUGCUGUAUAAAUAUGUUCGUUCUGUUGAUAUUUACACCGGUCAAAACGAACAUUUCCAUCUUGCCAAUUUAAUAAAUACUAUUACUGAUCUACACAAAAGCCAAAAUCAAAACAAAGUCUUUAAUGAUCUAAAUAUGUGUUUUAAGCAAUCGAUGUAUGCAAUUGUUUAUUAUGUAUAUAUAAUUUCAUUAUUAACAAAUUGGUUAUUAUAUUUCGUCUAUGUGUAUGUGCGUCUGGUGUGUCCGUGCUAACGGCGGAGAACCUUAUAACAGUUUCUGCUAAGGUGCUGUUAAUAAAAGACUAAUCGUUUUUCCUUCCGAUAAAUUAUGUCUUAGAAACCCUGCGCAGUUAUGUCGCUGUCAAAAAUGCAGCUGUUUGUAUGUAAAAGAAAUUGACAGUUAUUACUUCAAAAUUAAGUGACGGCGUUUAGUUUAUAAUUAAGAAGCUUGACACUUGAAGUAAACAUGUGUUGUUGUGACAUCUGUGGAUGUCGAAAAAAGUGUAAAGGGUCGAUUUGUCAAGAGUUUCAGAAUCUAAAAAACAAAGAACCUAAAUAAAAUGAUAUAUUUGUUUAUUUUGAGAAUCUGAAUUUUGUUAGAAACGAACCCAUUGCCAAACGAAAAAUCGGACGAAUAUUCUGUUUUUUAAUGAAUGAAUGAAUAUGAAUCACAUAUAAAAACAGCUAAAUCCGAGUUUUGGACAUAUAAAAGUAUGUAAAUUUGUUGAA